UCCUGGCUGGUUUAGUCGGCAGAGCAUGUGACUCUUGAUCUUGGGGUUGUGGGUUUGAGUCCCAUGUUGGGUG
rnacentral:tRNA from 1 species